rnacentral:rRNA from 1 species
UACGUGAGGUGCAAGCGUUGUCCGGAAUUAUUGGGCGUAAAGGGCUCGUAGGCGGUCUGUCACGUCGGGAGUGAAAACUCAGGGCUUAACCCUGAGCCUGCUUCCGAUACGGGCAGACUAGAGGUAUGCAGGGGAGAACGGAAUUCCUGGUGUAGCGGUGAAAUGCGCAGAUAUCAGGAGGAACACCGGUGGCGAAGGCGGGUCUCUGGGCCGUAACUGACGCUGAGGAGCGAAAGCAUGGGGAGCGAACAGG